AGGACGUUGAGUGAUGAACAAUUAAGAAUGUAGUUAAGUGUACACGGGCGUCCACUCACGUGGGCCUGUCAACCGCCCAAGUCCAAAUAGCAAAUUUAAGACAAUUAAUUUUUUUUCUCUCUCGUUCACUAAAUUUGUUUCCUAAUUCUCGUCUCAAUUUUUAAUUGCUGCAAAAAUCAAGUUGCAAUUUUAGGGUUCGGGAGUUCAUCUACUGCUGAUCCUUAAUAUAUUUUCUCGUUUUCCAAUUUCAAUCUGCCGAAAGAUUCUGUGAUCAUGAGCUUAAUUAUAUAACAUUUUUAUCAGCUGUGCUGGAAGUUGGAGGGACGAUUCGAGCUGUUGGGAUUUGGGGAAUUACAAAAUCGAAGCUACAGUUCACUAUCACCUUGGGCGGCUCGUGUCAAAAAGCCGUGAAGGGGCCAUGGGCAAACUCUGUUGGUCGUGCUAAUGCUCGUGGAUUAUCAGGAAGCAAAAGAUUAUCAGCAGAUUCUUUUGGGAGCCAUUUUGAUCAUUCAUUUUCUUACUUAACAAACAGUGUCGGUUUUCAGUAACCCUCUCUAGUUAAGUCAAUGGUGCUUCCUCAAAGUGUAAAUAAUCUGAAGAUAGCUGAGGUUGAAAAUUUGAUGAUUUACACACGUCGGAAUAAAUAAUUUUAGAAUUGAUGUCAUUAUCUUUUGUUAUAUUUAGUUAUUUACAGGCUAAGAAGUGAUGUGGAACCAAGGAGCGGGAGCUCCGAACACAAUUGCCAGAAUGGAUAUAGUACUUAAAUCAGCACCUUGUAACUAUAUUGUGAUUUUAUAUCCCCAUCACAUGAUACGCACUUCUGAACUUUUCUUCUUGUUUUAAUGCCUUCUUUGGGUAUCAAACUUGACUUAGAAGAUCCAUGAGUUGAUUUAAAAGAUUUCCGCUUGAAGCUAAUGCACAAGAGAAUAAGUAGGAUAUAGAGCACAGGAUAGAGGAGUUCAAGGAGAUGGAACUGCAUGAGAAAGUUUCAAGAGCUAUUCGGUCUCUGGAAUCGCCUGAAAGGAGCAUUUUGAAAAACAUUUCACAAACAACAGAAGAAGCUGGGACGCCAUUAAGUUCAUAUGUUUCUUGGACUUUGGAUGGACCAAGUCCAAGGUAGUUAUGAGAUCCUCUAGUGGAAUUUUCAACCCCCAGGAUGACAACUGAUGAAGUGCGGCGAGUACAAAAUACUUUAAGAACUGGGUGUAUCUUGACAAUCAAUCUCUUGGAUCCGUCUAGAUCAACGGGCUCUCUUCUUAUGAUCUCGAGCGCCCCUGUAGAUUCUGGCAGGCUGGUUACAAGACUCCCUUCAGCAAGUGGUGGCACGUCCAGAAUCCAGAUGCCCUUAUCCCCAUACCCUGUAUAAAUCUGUCUUCUCUUAGCUUCUCUUUCGUGCUAGCACGGGUUGUUUCUAAUAGAGUCAGAAGUUAGUGGUUGAAAAUUGAGAUUUGUCUGGGAUACAUUGACUUCCUUGGUAACCUGCACUAUAUAGAAUAAAAGUACUCUAGCACGCCGUAGAUAAUGAAAUCUAGUAGGCAAAUAGAUUUUCAACCUUGUAAGCACUUAGCAGUAGUUCUUCAUGGGAUUUACUCUUUAGGCUUUUGAUGUAGAAUAGAUGGCUGAGUGGAUUGAAGAAAAAUUGGAUCGAAAAAGAAAAAAGUAAUAGUGCAAGUAUGGCAGUUGAGCUCUGAUUUGGGCCCGUAAUACUAUUCUGGAAAACUGCUUUUAAAGUUUUAGUGCUAUUUUUAUCAUUUAGUUUAUUUUGAAUUCUUUGCAAUUUUAGUUUGUUUAAAGUAGGUUUUCAUGUAAACCCUUGUAAAUAAAGGGUUAAUUCAUCAUUUUUCUUUUUAUCAACUUUGAAUUAAUAAAAUUCGUUAGUUUUUUUCAUAAUUUGGUGGAUUACAAAAUUCGUGUUCUUUCAAUUAAGGUUUCGCUUGAAAUCCUUGUUUCACAUUUUAGGCAAGAUGCUUUAUGUAAUUAUUAUGCUAAUCAUCUUAUAGUGACCGGAUCAACAUUGAUAAAUGUCCCCCCCACCCCCCAAGUAACCACUUAUACUUCAAUUUUUGUGUCUAUCCUUUCAGCAGGUUGCUAUUCGCAUAAGCUAUGGCUUUCGAAGAAGAUGUGGAUGGAAAUAUUUGUUAAAUUCAUAAAUGUUUAAUGUUUUAUAUCAGGGGUUGGAGUCAUAAUUAGAUUAUUCUAGAGGUAAAGAUUUCUUUUAUAGGAUUGAUGAAAACUUAGUAGGUAUUUCACUUUUCUAAAACAAACAACAGUGCUGGCAAAUUGGAUUGAUAAUCGUAAAUGACUUUUCACUUAACAAUUAAUAUGCCCUAACCGCAUUUCAUCUGAAGCAGACUAACUUUGUUGUAGUAAUAAGGUUCUUUCUGAUUUUAUGUAGGACAAACAACCUCUCACUGUGAGGGGCUUGCUUCAUUCACUUGGUUGGGGAAUAUGCUAUUUCAUUUCAAGCUGAGGUUUGGGAUCACUUUCAUAGAAUAAGAAUGCAAAAACUAGUGCCUUUUUAUUUUAACUUCAUAUAGGCAUUGGUCUUGUACUGUAGGGAAAAAAUGAUUCGCCAUUGCAGAUUUUGAAGUCUUGUGAUUAUUUCAUAUAUUGUUAUGAUAAUUUAAGAAUGUAUAGAUGGUAAACUGCUGAUAAAUAAUGCGAAUAACAAGAUGGUAAGCAGUAGUGGUGGUGGCAUAUCCACAAAAGAAGUUUCUUCAAGUGUUGACUUGUAGUUCACUGAAGAAUGUAGCAUUGUUAUUGUUCAUUGGCUAAUUUUUUGAUAUAGAGGCUUAUCCUAUAUUGCAGUACUGAAGCAAAUGGGCGACCAAGAUCUGAAAGAGUUGCAAAUUCCCACGGCUAGAGGACUCAUAUUUCAUGUCACCGUCAAAUUACGCAAAAACACGACAAAAAUCAUUUAUCAAACGCCAAAAAGCUGAGAAGAACACACAAAAUAACGAAAGACUGUAACAUAAUGAUCAUGGAUUUAUAGCCCCAAGGUUGUGACUGGUGGAAAUACCUCUUUCUAUGUCAUAAAAUGCCAUUAAAAUUUAAGUGUCAAGUUUUCUGCUUCUUCUCUAAAGCAAAAGGUAAGAAGUCUCUCACCAUUGUUUCUGCUUGAAUAAAGUAUGAUUUGUUCCAACCUCAAUUAGAUAGCGGCAUCAUCUAAUUUCCAAGCGACGUCAUGUAAUUGCAAGUAGUAAUAUUGAUUCCUCGAGUGCAGGAGGAGGAUGUAACACUGAUUUCAUCUGAUUUGCUAUUUUGCAGGGACCAAGGAAGAAGAUUCAUCUUGCUGCAUUGGCCCGUAUAAAGUAAUCAACAGCACAAGCAAGCACAUUGCAACCAUGUGCAUUAGGUUAUAGGUGAAGAAUGUUUAUGAAUCUGGGAUUAAGAAUCAGGAAUUCGAUAUGAAAAACCUAGGAAUGUAACGAAUUGAUAGUUAUUGGAUGCAGUUUGUGAACAUACGUACAAUGAUGCCAUGCUAUGAAAUAAAUGCUUGUUUUAUAGCA